CAUGCAGUCGACGGCAGCAUGAUCUAGCUUGCUAGAUUGAUGGCGAGUGGCGAACGGGUGAGUAAUACAUCGGAACGUGCCCUGUAGUGGGGGAUAACUAGUCGAAAGAUUAGCUAAUACCGCAUACGACCUGAGGGUGAAAGUGGGGGACCGCAAGGCCUCAUGCUAUAGGAGCGGCCGAUGUCUGAUUAGCUAGUUGGUGAGGUAAAGGCUCACCAAGGCGACGAUCAGUAGCUGGUCUGAGAGGACGAUCAGCCAUACUGGGACUGAGACACGGCCCAGACUCCUACGGGAGGCAGCAGUGGGGAAUUUUGGACAAUGGGCGAAAGCCUGAUCCAGCAAUGCCGCGUGUGUGAAGAAGGCCUUCGGGUUGUAAGCACUUUUGUCCGGAAAGAAUGGCUCUGGUUAAUACCUGGGUCGAUGACGGUACCGAAGAUAAGGACCGGCUACUACGUGCAGCCGCGCGGUAAU
rnacentral:rRNA from 1 species